GAUGAAGAACGUAGCGAAAUGCGAUAAGUAAUGUGAAUUGCAGAAUUCAGUGAAUCAUCGAAUCUUUGAACGCACAUUGCGCCCGCCAGUAUUCUGGCGGGCAUGCCUGUUCGAGCGUCAUUUCAACCAUCAAGCCCCCGGCUUGUGUUGGGGACCUGCGGCUGCCGCAGGCCCUGAAAACCAGUGGCGGGCUCGCUGUCACACCGAGCGUAGUAGAUUUUCAUCUCGCUCAGGGCGUGCUGCGGGUUCCGGCCGUAAAAAGCCUUAUUUACCCAAGGUUGACCUCGGAUCAGGUAGAAAGACCCGCUGAACUUAAGCAUAUCAAUAAGCGGAGGA
rnacentral:misc_RNA from 1 species